GAUUAAUUUUCUGCUUGGUUGGAGUUUUGUCAUCUCACAUUGUCUUCCUUUGACUGUGACGCAGUUGCAGCAGUGAAUCAAUUCCACUUUUGAAUUGUCAAACGGCGUCGCUUCCGGGGACUGCCGGUGAUGGGCGAUGACCAAUCAUCUAUCGUAAUGUCCAACAGAGACAGAGAUCGAGAGCUUCUCAUCCCGGUGGCGGACUCCGCCGACGAAGACGCGGCUUGCAAGCCUUCUUCGUCUUCGUCUUCGUCGUCUUCACAUCAUGCUGGCCGGGAGACUUUUUACAAGGUUGUUAGGAGCUGGGCAUCCAAAAAAUUCAUGACUGGCUGUGUCAUUCUAUUUCCACUGGCAAUUACCUUCUAUAUCACAUGGUGGUUUAUUCAUUUCGUGGAUGGAUUCUUUUCUCCAAUCUAUGCUCAACUUGGAAUUGAUAUUUUUGGUCUUGGAUUUGUAACUUCCAUAACUUUCAUCUUCUUGGUGGGGGUUUUCAUGUCAUCAUGGUUGGGUGCAUCUGUUUUGGGCCUUGGCGAGUGGUUUAUUAAGCGAAUGCCCCUUGUUCGUCACAUUUAUAAUGCCUCUAAGCAGAUUAGUGCUGCUAUCUCACCAGAUCAAAACACACAAGCCUUCAAAGAAGUGGCCAUCAUUCGGCAUCCACGAGUUGGUGAAUAUGCAUUUGGAUUUAUCACCUCAUCUGUUGUUCUUCAGGUUGCAUUACGCAUAUUGAUACUGGUUCAGGCAAAUAUUUGUCUUGGAUGGUGUGAUGUGCUCAUCCGUACAGUGCAUAUAUUAGAAUUACUCUGGAGAGGAGGAGCUAUGCUGUGUCUAUGUUCCAACGAAUCAUCUUUAUAUUGGUGAUAUAUUUCUUGUCAACACCAAGGAUGUCAUUAGACCAAACUUAUCAGUCCGUGAAGGGAUUGAAAUUGUCGUUUCUGGAGGCAUGUCAAUGCCACAAAUCCUAUCAACGUUAGAUCCUCGAGUCAUGCCAGCAGAUAGAAUCAGACCUCCCAGCUGAGAAGUAGAGGAAGAAAAUACGGGUUGUUACGUUUUUUAUUUUUAGUACGUUUAAGUUUUCCCAAGUAGCUUGGUUUAAUAUGGAGCAAAGAAUGCAAUAUUUGAAUUUAAAUUAGUUAUUGCUGAGGAAUAGAGAUCAGAUUGUGUGAUGGAAUUGUGUAAGAGAUAUUUGUUUCUGUGUAAUAGAAAUUUGAAUUUGCCGUUCGUUUUAA